rnacentral:rRNA from 1 species
CCUACGGGUGGCAGCAGUGAGGAAUAUUGGUCAAUGGACGAGAGUCUGAACCAGCCAAGUAGCGUGAAGGAUGACUGCCCUAUGGGUUGUAAACUUCUUUUAUAGGGGAAUAAAGUGCAGUACGUAUACUGCUUUGCAUGUACCUUAUGAAUAAGGAUCGGCUAACUCCGUGCCAGCAGCCGCGGUAAUACGGAGGAUCCGAGCUUUAUGCGGAUUUAUUGGGUUUACAGGGAGCGUAGGCGGGUUGUUAAGUCAGUUGUGAAGGUUUGCGGCUCAACCGUAAAAUUGCAGUUGAUACUGGCAUCCUUGAGUACAGUAUAGGUAGGCGGAAUUCGUGGUGUAGCGG